rnacentral:rRNA from 1 species
ACAAUGAUGCCUCAGUACGGCGAGUGAGCGGCAAAAGCUCAAAUUUGAAAUCCCCCCGGGGAGUUGUAAUUUGAAGAUUGCGUCUUGGAGGCGACCGUGUCUAUGUUCCUUGGAACAGGACGUCACAGAGGGUGAGAAUCCCGUGCGGCACGGCCCCCGGCUCCUUAUAAGGCGCUCUCGACGAGUCGAGUUGUUUGGGAAUGCAGCUCAAAGUGGGUGGUAAAUUCCAUCUAAAGCUAAAUACAGGCGAGAGACCGAUAGCGAACAAGUACAGUGAUGGAAAGAUGAAAAGCACUUUGAAAAGAGAGUGAAACAGCACGUGAAAUUGUUGAAAGGGAAGGGCAUGCCGUCAGAUUGUCAGUGUGGGUAAGAAGCGGGGUACAAAGACUGUGGAACGUGGCCCUCGGGUGUUAUAGCCGCAGUUCAUGCCCCGUCUCUUUCCGAGGCCUGCUUUGAGGACACCGACGUAAUGACGGUACGCCGCCCGUCUUAA